rnacentral:rRNA from 1 species
GAUUGAACGCUGGCGGCAUGCCUUACACAUGCAAGUCGAACGGCAGCACGGGUGCUUGCACCUGGUGGCGAGUGGCGAACGGGUGAGUAAUACAUCGGAACAUGUCCUGUAGUGGGGGAUAGCCCGGCGAAAGCCGGAUUAAUACCGCAUACGAUCUACGGAUGAAAGCGGGGGACCUUCGGGCCUCGCGCUAUAGGGUUGGCCGAUGGCUGAUUAGCUAGUUGGUGGGGUAAAGGCCUACCAAGGCGACGAUCAGUAGCUGGUCUGAGAGGACGACCAGCCACACUGGGGCUGAGACACGGCCCAGACUCCUACGGGAGGCAGCAGUGGGGAAUUUUGGACAAUGGGCGAAAGCCUGAUCCAGCAAUGCCGCGUGUGUGAAGAAGGCCUUCGGGUUGUAAAGCACUUUUGUCCGGAAAGAAAUCCUUGGCUCUAAUACAGUCGGGGGAUGACGGUACCGGAAGAAUAAGCACCGGCUAACUACGUGCCAGCAGCCGCGGUAAUACGUAGGGUGCGAGCGUUAAUCGGAAUUACUGGGCGUAAAGCGUGCGCAGGCGGUUUGCUAAGACCGAUGUGAAAUCCCCGGGCUCAACCUGGGAACUGCAUUGGUGACUGGCAGGCUAGAGUAUGGCAGAGGGGGGUAGAAUUCCACGUGUAGCAGUGAAAUGCGUAGAGAUGUGGAGGAAUACCGAUGGCGAAGGCAGCCCCCUGGGCCAAUACUGACGCUCAUGCACGAAAGCGUGGGGAGCAAACAGGAUUAGAUACCCUGGUAGUCCACGCCCUAAACGAUGUCAACUAGUUGUUGGGGAUUCAUUUCCUUAGUAACGUAGCUAACGCGUGAAGUUGACCGCCUGGGGAGUACGGUCGCAAGAUUAAAACUCAAAGGAAUUGACGGGGACCCGCACAAGCGGUGGAUGAUGUGGAUUAAUUCGAUGCAACGCGAAAAACCUUACCUACCCUUGACAUGGUCGGAAUCCUGCUGAGAGGCGGGAGUGCUCGAAAGAGAACCGGCGCACAGGUGCUGCAUGGCUGUCCUCAGCUCGUGUCGUGAGAUGUUGGCUUCAGUCCCGCAACGAGCGCAACCCUUGUCCUUAGUUGCUACGCAAGAGCACUCUAAGGAGACUGCCGGUGACAAACCGGAGGAAGGUGGGGAUGACGUCAAGUCCUCAUGGCCCUUAUGGGUAGGGCUUCACACGUCAUACAAUGGUCGGAACAGAGGGUUGCCAACCCGCGAGGGGGAGCUAAUCCCAGAAAACCGAUCGUAGUCCGGAUUGCACUCUGCAACUCGAGUGCAUGAAGCUGGAAUCGCUAGUAAUCGCGGAUCAGCAUGCCGCGGUGAAUACGUUCCCGGGUCUUGUACUCACCGCC